AUUGAACGCUGGCGGAAUGCUUUACACAUGCAAGUCGAACGGCAGCACGGGGGCAGCCCUGGUGGCGAGUGGCGAACGGGUGAGUAAUACAUCGGAACGUGCCCGGUCGUGGGGGAUAACGUAGCGAAAGUUACGCUAAUACCGCAUACGAUCUGAGGAUGAAAGCGGGGAACCUCGGGGCCCCGCGCAUCCGGAGGGGCCGAUGUCAGAUUAGGUAGUUGGUGGGGUAAAGGCCUACCAAGCCGACGAUCUGUAGCUGGUCUGAGAGGACGACCAGCCACACUGGGACUGAGACACGGCCCAGACUCCUACGGGAGGCAGCAGUGGGGAAUUUUGGACAAUGGGCGCAAGCCUGAUCCAGCCAUUCCGCGUGCAGGACGAAGGCCUUCGGGUUGUAAACUGCUUUUGUACGGAACGAAAAGGCUCUGGCUAAUACCUGGGGCUCAUGACGGUACCGUAAGAAUAAGCACCGGCUAACUACGUG
rnacentral:rRNA from 1 species